GGCAUGGUGGCCAAGUGGUAAGGCAUUGGUUUUGUAAACCUGAGAUCAUGGGUUUAAUGCCUAUCCUUGCCU